rnacentral:rRNA from 1 species
CAGUAGCCACGGUAAUACGUAGGGUGCAAGCGUUAUCCGGAAUUAUUGGGCGUAAAGAGCUCGUAGGCGGUUUGUCGCGUCUGCUGUGAAAACCGGAGGCUCAACCUCCGGCCUGCAGUGGGUACGGGCAAACUAGAGUGCGGUAGGGGAGAUUGGAAUUCCUGGUGUAGCGGUGGAAUGCGCAGAUAUCAGGAGGAACACCGAUGGCGAAGGCAGAUCUCUGGGCCGUAACUGACGCUGAGGAGCGAAAGCAUGGGGAGCGAACAGGAUUAGAUACCCCUGUAGUCCCUGUCUCUUAUAC